GAGCAUAACAAGUCAGCUCAUGA
rnacentral:misc_RNA from 1 species